rnacentral:antisense_RNA from 1 species
CUUAGAUAUGAGAGAGGCUUCCACGACGGCGACGUUUGGGGGGCCUUUUUCUUUU